rnacentral:rRNA from 1 species
UGAGGAAUAUUGGUCAAUGGACGAGAGUCUGAACCAGCCAAGUAGCGUGCAGGAUGACGGCCUUAGGGGUCGUAAACUGCUCCUGUUUGGGAAUAAUCGAUAUUACGUGUAAUGUUUUGCAUGUACCAUAUGAAUAAGGACCGGCUAAUUCCGUGCCAGCCGCCGCGGUAAUACGGAAGGUUCGGGCGAUAUCCGGAUUUAUUGGGUUUAAAGGGAGCGUAGGCCGUUUGGUAAGCGUGUUGUGAAAUGUAGGAGCUCAACUUCUAGAUUGGAGCGCGAACUGUCAGACUUGAGUACGCAGAACGUAGGCGGAAUUCAUGGUGUAGCGGUGAAAUGCUUAGAUAUCAUGAAUAACGCCGAUUGCGAAGGCAGCUUACGGGGGAGAAACAGACGCUGAAGCUCGAAGGUGCGGGUAUCGAACGGG